rnacentral:lncRNA from 1 species
AUGGCAACCCUAUGGCAGGCCUAUGUUAACCCUAUGGCAGGCCUACGGCAACACUACGGCAGGCCGAUGGCAACCCAAUGGCAGGCCUAUGGCAGCCCUACGACAGGUAUAUGGCAACCCAACGGCAGGCCUAUCGCAGCCCUAUGGCAGGCCUACGACAGGUAUAUGGCAACCCAAUGGCAGGCCUAUGGCAGGCCUAUGGCAGGCCUAAGCGAGCCCUAUGGCAGCCCUAUGGCAACCUAUGGCAACCCUAGGGCAGGCCUAUGGCAACCUAUGGCAGGCCUAUGGCAACCCAUGGCAGGCCUAUGGAAGCCCUACAACAGGUAUAUGGCAACCCAAUGCGGCCUAUGGCAGCCCUAUGGCAGGCCUAUGGCAGCCCUAUGGCAGGCCUAUGCAACCCUAUGGCAGGCCUACGACAGGUAUAUGGCAACCCAAUGGCAGCCUAAUGCAACCCUAUGGCAGCCCUAUGGCAACCCUAUGGCAGCCCUAUGGCAGGCCUAUCGCAGGCCUAUGGCAACCCUAUGGCAGCCUAUGGCAACCCUAUGGCAGGCCUAUGGCAACCCUAUGGCAGGCCUAUGGCAACCCUAUGGCAGGCCUAUGGAAGCCCUACAACAGGUAUAUGGCAACCCAAUGGCAGGCUAUGGCAGCCCUAUGGCAGGCCUAUGGCAGCCCUAUGGCAGCCUAUGGCAACCCUAGGCAGGCCUACGACAGGUAUAUUGGCAACCCAUGGCAGGCCUAGGCACCCUAUGGCAGCCCUAUGGCAACCCUAUGGCAGCCCCUAUGGCAGGCCUAUCGCAGCCUAUGGCAAACCUAUGGCAGGCCUAUAGGCAGCCCUAUGGCAGGCCUAUGGCAACCCUAGGGCAGGCCUAUGGCAGCCCUAUGGCAGCCAUGGCAGCCCUAUUGGCAGCCCUAUAUCGCAGCCCUAUGGCAACCCUAUGGCAGCCCUAUGGCAAACCCUAGGGCACCAAUGGCAACCAAUGGCAGCCUGGGUACAACGUUAGAGGACCUAAACAUGCCGUCUUACCUUCAUCCAAACAGUAAGCCACCAUACAACAGAGCUACGUAUCUACAAACAGGUAGAGCAUCAUACAAACAGGUAGAGCCAUCCAUACAAAACAGGUAAGAGCCAUCUAUACAAACAGGUAAGACACCAUACAAAGGUUAGAGCAUCCAUACAAACAGG